rnacentral:rRNA from 1 species
UACGUAGGGGGCAAGCGUUGUCCGGAAUUAUUGGGCGUAAAGAGCGUGUAGGCGGUCCGGUAAGUCAGCUGUGAAAGUCAAGGGCUCAACCCUUGAAUGCCGGUUGAUACUGUCGGGCUAGAGUCCGGAAGAGGCGAGUGGAAUUCCCGGUGUAGCGGUGAAAUGCGCAGAUAUCAGGAGGAACACCGGUGGCGAAGGCGGGUCUCUGGGCCGAUACUGACGCUGAGGCGCGAAGGCGUGGGGAGCGAACGGG